UGAAAAAGAUAAAGAUGAUUCUGAUGAUGAAAAUGGUAAUAAAGAUGAUAUCAUCAAAAUCUAUGCUCCUUUGAGCCUGUGGGGUCAACAAUCUCCCCCUUUUUGAUGAUGACAAAACUCAAUUGAAUCACCAUGUAAAUAUUAAUAAGUGUGAGUAUGUGUAUGAAUGUAUAUGUGAGAAUAACUCCCCCUAUGUAUGUGCUUAUAUCAACAAUUAAUCACAAAUAACUCCCCUUUGAUAAUUUCAAUGAAAUAUUCAUAAGCAUUUUCUUACGGAGUCAAGUGUGACUAAAGAUACUAACUAAAUAUGCACAAUAUGCACACUAAUCACAAACUGUAUAUCAUUCACAAGUUAUAUCAACAAUAUGCACACUAUAAAGUUAUAUCAACAAUAUACUAUUCACAAGCUAUAUCAACCACAAGUAAUCACAAG
rnacentral:misc_RNA from 1 species